rnacentral:lncRNA from 1 species
UUUGUAACAAAAGGUCUUUUGUAACACCCCAGUCCCACAUCAUCGAAAGAUAUGAGAAAAAUUUGUCUGUAAUUAUUAAUUAAGUUACUACCAAUAGUAUUUUCAGGCAUGACCUUUUGGUUGAGCCUGUGGUAGGCUAAGAUGACCCAAGAAGAUACUAUUGGGUCUGGAUGGAUUUGAUUCGAUUCGGACUUGGGAUUUGACCCGAGAUUUGUUCCGGACUCGGAUUUGACCCAGGUUGUUUCAUCUUUGGUCUUUGUUGAGU